GCCCCCAACAAUCUGUCUUGUUAAGUGGUCAAAUUUAAUCUGACAUGGUUUUGAUCAGCUGAUGCGCUACACAUGCGUCAUGUGUCCUGGCUUAACUGACACAGACCUCCGUGGAGAGGAGUCCCCUGGGGGGCUGGCGACCCCCAGACAAAUGUCUUGCCCCCUCAAAUCAAAAUUUUAGAAGUAGACACAUUUUAAUAGACGACCCACAAAAUGAAUGUGUUAAAAGUUAACACAAUUUAUUACAGUAGUUUAGAAGUCUGACAACAGAGAUACAAGUUAUGCACCUCAACUUUAUAUCCCUCCUAUAGACAUCUCUCAGCGACCUCUCCCUCUCUGUGUGUACAUAUUUUUGUAGCUUCACAGGCUGCACUCACUAGAGACCCCCGUAAAUAUCCAAUCACUGUCACUCAUGGAUGUAUCCCUUAGCUGUGGAUGUAUUAUAAGAGCAAUCACACAUGUUUGCAAGGCAAAACAGAAUCAGCUGGCCAAUUAGCGUUUUUUCUGCCGUUGUUGGCUUGGGGUGUUCUCAUUGGCUGCGUCGUGUGUCCUCAUUGUGGGAGGGGCGCAGAGAGGCGGAGAAACUACGUUGGGGGAAACAGAUUAAAACCAACGUUUGAAACAUUGCCUCGGUUUGUCAGUACUGUGAGGAAAUGUAAUUACCGAAGGGGUCUGGGUGCUACAACAAGCUUUGGAGCUGCUUUUUGUCGAACAUGAGUGAAGCUGGACGCUGAAUAUACCUGUGGCGUGAAGGUUUACUUGUUCAGCUGCUGCAGCCUGGACAGAAACACCAGCUCUCACCUUACAAACCGAACAGGUGUCACCACUUUGUCCACGACAUCGUCCAUGAUCGGAGAGACAUUGUCAAUGACUCGCAGAGACGUGCUAAAGUCGGUAGUGACGGAGUUCCCCAAUUUGAUGACAUCGUCAAUGAUCACAUAGACAGAGAGUCUUCGUACGACGAAGUUCUUUGAGACCAGGACUGAGGCAUCCAGGUCUUCAGCUGCUGUUGUCGUCUUCUCCUGCAGAGACAAGAACACGUGUUAAUCACAGAAACUCAUCAGUAAAUCUGUUUUUUCUUUCCUAAACGUAUUCAUUGUUGUUACCCAAUUACAGUGAUAUACUAUGACAUUUGGCUUAAUACAAAGGAAUUAUCUUAAAGCAGCAAUCAGUGUUUGUGGGUUAAGUAAGAUUUUGUGCUUGCCAUUUCAUUUUGCUAUUUCAAACAGUGCAAUGUCAGUACUCUAAUCUAUAACUGUGUACAUAGUCCUG